GGCAGCUCUCUCCCCUGGGCUCACCUCACUGUCCUGGACUGCUCUCAACACUGAGCGGUUCCUGCAGAAUGUGUAUGUGGCUCUCAAAGACCUGGAUCUGGUGGCCAAAAUGGCGACAGACCUGCUGGACUGUCGCAUUGGCCGGCUGCUUCGGGCCAUGUCGUCCUGCCGUCUGCUGGUCCUUCCUGAAGACUCGUCUGUGUCGGCGCAGGACCUCCUGCUACAGACAGGAAGCUUGGUCCAAGCUGCUGCUGUCACCCUGAGCUGGCAGAGUCAGCAGGUGGAGAGGUACGUGUACGAAC